CUGUAACUUUUCGUUAUAAUAUCGAAAGAAAUAUCACUUUUGCGUAACGAAAGGUUUAUAACGAACAAUUUUUUUGAAGUGUUUCUGUAACUCAGAAAAGUCACCUUUCGUUAUGGUUGUGGUGAGUCGUUAUCAAUGUUAUCGAAAAUGUGCUAUAACUAAAAUGAAUGCAUAAACGUCUGUCAAUGUACACGAAUAUAUUUGUUUUGUUUACUGCAAAAAAGUUUUGUUUACUCUUAUUUUUUUACUCUGAAUCAAAUUAUGAUAGCUGCUGCAUUAUUUGCCUUAUUGGAGGACCAACGGAAUAUGUUACGCGUUCAUCGGCGACAUCUGAGGGAUACAACUGACCCAUUUCAUUUGCCGGAAGCUCGCUUUGAAGAGCUAUUCCGUUUUAAAAAAGAUCCCGCAAUAGCCUUGUUACAAGAGCUAAGUCCUCAUAUGAAAAGUGGCGAAAGGCGUACGUUUGUCCCUAAAUCAUUAAGAAUGAGUGCAGCACUUCAUUACUAUGCGACAGGAUCAUAUUUGAGAGACGUUGGCCAAGAUUUUGUGUGCUCAUUAAGCAAGACAGUUGUGUGUCGUGCAGUAAAAGAAGUCACAAACAUCAUUGAAGGAAAAUUAAUGUGUAAAUACAUUAAAUUUCCAACAUCUUUAGAGGAACAAAACAAAAUAAAACAAACAUUUUUUUCAUCUACAGGUUUAUUCUAUAUAUAUAUAUAUAUACAUACAUGCAUAUGUUUAUAUAUAAUAUACUGAACGAACCUUUUUCCACUGCUCAACGGUUUUACAUGCUCCUCCGCAUGCAUUCAAUUCCGAUGUGAGAGUUGCCCAAACAGCAUUAGCAGCUUUGCCGCUGUUUGGGCCACCAAAUUGUCCGUUAUCAACAUUUCUAUGAUUUUUCAAUAAAUCUAGAAAUUUUUGUUUUUGUUGUUUGGUAACUUUUCCACUUCUUACUUUUUUCUGUUAAUAAUAUAAACAUAAACAAACCAUCAAAAUUUUUCCAGCAACCUCGCUCAUCUUUAUUUUGGCGCAAAAUAUCACUGCAAUUUUUUUAAUGAUAUAAUAACGAAUAUCAUAACGAAAGAAAUAACGAAAAUGCUUUUCACCAAACUUACAGAAACACUACAUUUCGUCAUACUAGUGAAUUCGAUAUAUCGUUCGUUAUUAUGCAUAACGAAAAGUUACAGAA